rnacentral:rRNA from 5 species
CUCAAAUAAUGUGUGAC